UACAGAGGGGGCAAGCGUUAAUCGGAAUUACUGGGCGUAAAGCGUGCGUAGACGGUUAUGUAAGUCGGGUGUGAAAGCCCCGGGCUCAACCUGGGAAUUGCAUUCGAGACUGCAUAGCUAGGGUGCGGAAGAGGGAAGCGGAAUUUCCGGUGUAGCGGUGAAAUGCGUAGAUAUCGGAAGGAACACCAGCGGCGAAAGCGGCUUCCUGGGCCAGCACCGACGUUCAGGCACGAAAGCGUGGGGAGCAAACAGG
rnacentral:rRNA from 1 species